CAGUUCGCCUGCAGUCAAUUGUUCAAGUUGAUAACUACUGCACAGAUCUUAUUGACAGCAAGCAAAUGGUCUGUACAUACCAAAUUUGACGCAGUCUUAGUUGGACAAUUGACUGAGAUACUGAACAUAGCUUAACAAGAGGACCCCCAUGAAUCUUUCUUUGGUUACCAGGGCGACAAUCCAAUCGGAGAAUCUUAACUGAACGUUGUCAUGUUUAGUUGGAGAACCAUUGGUGUAAAUCAUAUCUGCUUUAACUUGGCGUAUAAUUUUUACAAAAUGAUUUGAACAUUUAGCAAGACUAUCGAAGAUUUAAUUAGAGUGAUUGGAAGUAAACUAGUUGUGAUAUUUUACCGGUUUGCGUCACAAGCAGGAAUUUUGUUAUAUUUUCCCCGUCAUUAGACAUUGAUAAUAUGUUUGUUGAAACUCAGAAACAAGAUAGACCAUUACAACACAUAAAAACUAUGUAUUUUGUAAACAUUUUCCUUUGUUAUAUACACUUUUAGAAUGUAUUUUGAAUUAAAAUUGAAAUGAAGCUAAUUUCAAAAACAUUGAUUGAAGUCACAAUGGAAGUGAUGAAGUAAUAUUUCUGGCGAAUUUAUCUCACAAAGACACAGUUUUUAUUGAUUUUGUUUUGUUUUAGCAAAAUUACAACAAAAAACUAUUUACAUCAAAAGGGCUAUGAAUUUUACAAAUGUUCCAGUUCUAAAAAAGUAAAUAUUUGUGGUUUUUAAUUGUUUUUUCUAUUGUUUUGUCUAUAUAAGAUUGACGAUAACUUCCAAAUUUGUUGUUCAAUAUUUAAUUUAUUUGACAUUAAAAUUGUUUUAUUGAUAA